GACAUGCUGGCAGGGCUCCCUGGAGCCCUGACAGAGACAUCAAGGACUGGCCUCGGGGGACUCAGGACUGUGGAUUUUGACAGGCAAAGGCUCGGAGGCAACUCUGACCUGCAGCUUUAUAGGUGCAGUUGAAGCUGGAAUGAAAUUACUCCAAUUCCACGUGGGUACGGGAUACAAGAUUGUUAAAAUUUUGGCUUCAGCUUAUUUGUGCUGAUCUUUAGUAGGUGAUGCUAAACUGGUGGCCCCAGAUCCUAAUUGUCUACUUUGUUUUGAACUGCAUUUAGGGCCAUAGAAGAAUAAAACCCAUGGAGGGAUUUUAUUUAUGGCCUGUCCACAGGCUUCCGGAAUUUUUUCCUACCACAUGGUCUCCAGUUGGCUCCGGGAUGGACAUUUGUUAAGCCCUGACUGGGGUUGUGGGUUGCAGAUGCCCACUGUGAGAUUAACCAGAAAGAUGCCACUAAGUUUCUGCACGGUGUGUUGCUGGCGUUGGCAACUUGAUUCUGGCUCCCGUGUGUUGGGAGGAGACUGUCACCGAGAUGCCUCACCAUCGUCUCUUCUGUUCAAACUGCAUUCUGCCCUAGCUAAGCAAGCCAGAUUCCCGCCCCCGUGCUGCCUGAGCCGCUGACUGAAGAUGAUGCUCACGAGCAGCAUGGAUGAGCGGCUCACCCUGCAAGCAGCAGCACCAUCCAGGACCUGCAUGGAGCGUGCACACCAGGUGGCUGUGACUGAGUGCCGGCCCUCCACAGCAUCUUUCUCUUGUACUUUGAAUCCUCAUUAAAGGUUUUUUUUUGCCUCCUCCUCCCGAAAAAAAACCUCCCACAAAAAACCAUGCACUAGGUUCUGGGCACAUAAUUGCCUGGAGCCUGAGAAUAUGCUUGUGUUUCUAAGUUUUGUUGGUAUGGAGCUGGUGUCACAGUAUUCUGUGCCCUAGUUGCUCUGACUUUGCAAAAGAGGGACCCAGGAGCUACUUGGGGGUGGAGCAGGUCAACUUUGGAGGUGCUGGAGGAAAUGCUCACAUUUCACGGGUGAAAGGCCAGGAUGCAGCCAGUUCCUCUCUCCCAGGCAUAGCAGCCUUUUUGCUGACCCCAAGGGAGCGCUCCCCAUGCUAGGGGCUCUGCACCCUCCUCGUCCUCAGGAGCUCUGAGGUCUCACCACAGUCCCUCCUACUGUCACACCUUAGAUGCAGCUCCCUCCAGGCUGGGGAGAGGAUGGAGAUGCAGGUACCUAACCCCUGCCCACACUCUGAAGCUGAAGUUACAGGGAGAGGGUGUGCCUCCCCUUUCCCUUCACAUCCAGUUCACAUCCAGGCCUCAUUCUGCCAAACAGCUGGAGCGACAGAAAGAACACUCCCCAGCCCGUCCUGUCUCCGGGCUCACAGAGUUGCCUCAGGUGGGGAGGCCCAGCCAAGCCCUGGCGGCUGGUAUGGGGGGCGGAUAGAGAACUGACCUUGUGGGAAACAGACAUUCAUUAGGAAUGGGGAUGUCGAGGCAAAUGGACAAAGCUCGAUUCCUGUGGAGUGAGACCUUCUGCUAAGAUUGAGCAGAAUAAGAAAUUGGGAAGGGACAAAUUUCAGGCUUUCAUUUCCUUGCAUUUUAAUUUAAAAGGAAGUGUAUUUAAAUUUUGUU
rnacentral:lncRNA from 1 species